AAAGAAUCUGCCUGCAAUGCAGAAGGCCUAGGUUCAAUCGCUGGGUGGAGGAAGAUUCCCUGGAGAAGGAAACGGCUACCCACUCCAGUAUUCUUGCCUGGGAAUUCCCAUGGAGAGAGGAGCCUGGUGGGCUACACUCCAUGAGGGUCUCAAAGAGUCGGACACGACUGAGGGAUUAAACCACCAGCACCCCCUCAGGUACCCAGGACUGCUAACUGGGGACAGCAUCCAGGAUCAUCAGCCCCAGAGUCCAGUGAGCACAGCCCAUGACUCUUGGCUUCCAAAGCUCAUCAUGGAACCAGCACUAACAGAGAGACACACUAAAAGGAAACAAGAGAAGUACAAAGCUCUCAAGGAGUCUAAGGCAAUGUACCUGUUCUAUUUCAGUGUCGAAACCCAGGACCCAUAUGAGUCAAAUAAGACCCCAGAAGAGACUGUUCAUUUACCUAUAGGGGGAGCAUGAGCUGGAGAUCUGCUCUUUGACCUGCCUGCCAUUCAUUUCCUAAUUAUAAGCAACCUGUUUUCACUCCUGGUCCCAGCGAUCCAGUGGGGAAUCCAGACCUCUCCUGCUCUGCUCCAGGGCUGGGCAUGUGAUCUAUACCUGAUCGAUCAUCAUUUUCUAUCCUCUUGGUGGAGAUGAUCGCCUUUGGGUUGAGAAUAUAACCCAAGCUUAGCCAAUGAGACUCAAU
ensembl:lncRNA